rnacentral:lncRNA from 1 species
CACCGCUCGGUGCCGGGGAUUUUCUCCCGGGCUGAGCCACCCGCUCUUGUUUUGAUCCAGCGGCCGGCCAGAUAUGUGGAAGCAGCAUCACUUCCAUUUCCUGCUGCUCCCAGGCCAGGCUCCCAGGGGCGUGCAGCGCUGCGCUGCUCCGCGGGGGCACCGCUCGCUGUCAGCCGGGCGGCAUUUAAACAGCCGGGCACGGCGAGAUGAGACGGGGCUGACGCUUUUUUCCUGCCUUUUGCUUUUUUUUUCCCCCCUUAAUUUCUUUAUUUAUAUAUUUAUUUUUUCAUUUUUUUCUUUUUCCUUUAUUUUAUUAUUAUUUUUUUUUUUGCAUUUUCUCCCAAUUUUCCCCCCACCCCCCCCCCCUCCCCUGCACAAGGCCAUCCAUCCCCCGUCCCCCACCACCGUGGGGAAGGAGGGGGAUGCCCGCAGCCCGGCCCCAUUCCGCAACGCCCCCUCCCUUUCUCCUUCCUCCUCCUCCUGCCGCAGCCGCCGCCCGUCCUCUCUCUCUCUCCCCCCUUUUCCCCCCCAUCCCCUACCUGUAGGAGCGCUCCCCCCGCACCGUGUGCUUCCUGAAGGGGAUGAUGGUGCCGUUGUCCUGGAUGAUGUCGUUGUUGUUCUCGCCAUUUGGGGACAGGGCUUGGGUCGGUCCGGGCAUUGGCGCUCGCUCCCCCGCGGCUCCGCGCCUCCUCCCCGCCCCAGCGCUGCGGCUCUGCCUGCGGAAGGUGCUGGCGGCCCCCGCCUGCCGCCCGCCCGCCCGCCCGGACCCCGCCCCGCCGCCCCGCGUCACCGCGCCACGUGACCGCCCGCCGCCAUGGCAACC